GAAAUGCGAUAAGUAAUGUGAAUUGCAGAAUUCCGUGAAUCAUCGAAUCUUUGAACGCACAUUGCGCCCCCUGGUAUUCCGGAGGGCAUGCCUGUCCGAGCGUCAUUGCAAACCCUCAAGCACGGCUUGUGUGAUGGGUCCUGGCGUCCACCCCCCUAAGCGUAGGGGGUGGACGGGCCCGAAAGGCAGCGGCGGCACCGUGUCCGGUCCUCGAGCGUAUGGGGCUUCGUCACCCGCUCGAUCAGGGCCGGCCGGGCGCCUGCCGGCGUUCUACCAACCUUAUUUCUCCAGGUUGACCUCGGAUCAGGUAGGGAUACCCGCUGAACUUAAGC
rnacentral:misc_RNA from 1 species